rnacentral:rRNA from 1 species
UACGGAGGGUCCGAGCGUUAUCCGGAUUUAUUGGGUUUAAAGGGUGCGUAGGCGGUUUUAUAAGUCAGCGGUGAAAUUUUCCGGCUCAACCGGGAUACUGCCGUUGAUACUGUAAGGCUAGGAUAUGGUUGCUGUGGGUGGAAUGUGUGGUGUAGCGGUGAAAUGCUUAGAGAUCACACAGAAUAUCGAUUGCGAAGGCAGCUCACAAAGCCAUUAUUGACGCUGAGGCACGAAAGUGUGGGGAUCAAACAGG